AGAGUUUGAUCCUGGCUCAGAACGAACGCUGGCGGCAGGCCUAACACAUGCAAGUCGAACGCCGUAGCGAUACGGAGUGGCAGACGGGUGAGUAACACGUGGGAACAUACCCUUUGGUUCGGAAUAACUCAGGGAAACUUGAGCUAAUACCGGAUACGUCCUUGAACAGGAGAAAGAUUUAUUGCCGAAGGAUUGGCCCGCGUCCGAUUAGCUAGUUGGUGGGGUAACGGCUCACCAAGGCGACGAUCGGUAGCUGGUCUGAGAGGAUGAUCAGCCACAUUGGGACUGAGACACGGCCCAAACUCCUACGGGAGGCAGCAGUGGGGAAUAUUGGACAAUGGGCGCAAGCCUGAUCCAGCCAUGCCGCGUGAGUGACGAAGGCCUUAGGGUUGUAAAGCUCUUUUGCUCGGGAAGAUAAUGACGGUACCGAGAGAAUAAGCCCCGGCUAACUUCGUGCCAGCAGCCGCGGUAAUACGAAGGGGGCUAGCGUUGUUCGGAAU
rnacentral:rRNA from 1 species